rnacentral:rRNA from 1 species
CCUACGGGAGGCAGCAGUGGGGGAUAUUGCACAAUGGGGGGAACCCUGAUGCAGCGACGCCGCGUGGACGAUGGAGUGCUUCGGCAUGUAAAGCCCUAUCAGCAGGGAAGAAAAUGACGGUACCUGACUAAGAAGGCCCGGCUAAAUACGUGACAGCAGCCGCGGUAAUACGUAUGGGGCAAGCGUUAUCCGGAUUUACUGGGUGUAAAGGGAGCGUAGGCGGCCUGGCAAGCCUGAUGUGAAAUACCGGGACUCAACCCCGGGGGUGCAUUGGGAACUGCCAGGCUUGAGUGCCGGAGAGGCAGGCGGAAUUCCUAGUGUAGCGGUGAAAUGCGUAGAUAUUAGGAGGAACACCAGUGGCGAAGGCGGCCUGCUGGACGGUGACUGACGCUGAGGCUCGAAAGCGGGGGGAGCAAACAGGAUUAGAUACCCCAGUAGUC